rnacentral:rRNA from 1 species
AGAGCGAACGCUGGCGGCAGGCUUAACACAUGCAAGUCGAGCGGGCGUAGCAAUACGUCAGCGGCAGACGGGUGAGUAACGCGUGGGAACGUACCUUUUGGUUCGGAACAACACAGGGAAACUUGUGCUAAUACCGGAUAAGCCCUUACGGGGAAAGAUUUAUCGCCAAAAGAUCGGCCCGCGUCUGAUUAGCUAGUUGGUGAGGUAACGGCUCACCAAGGCGACGAUCAGUAGCUGGUCUGAGAGGAUGAUCAGCCACAUUGGGACUGAGACACGGCCCAAACUCCUACGGGAGGCAGCAGUGGGGAAUAUUGGACAAUGGGCGCAAGCCUGAUCCAGCCAUGCCGCGUGAGUGAUGAAGGCCCUAGGGUUGUAAAGCUCUUUUGGUGCGGGAAGAUAAUGACGGUACCGCAAGAAUAAGCCCGGCUAACUUCGCGCCAGCAGCCGC